rnacentral:rRNA from 1 species
CCUACGGGUGGCAGCAGUGAGGAAUAUUGGUCAAUGGCCGGAAGGCUGAACCAGCCAUGCCGCGUGAAGGUCAGUGCCCUAUGGGCGUUAAACUUCUUUUGUGCGGGAGCAAUAAUGGUCACGUGUGGCCAGACGAGAGUACCGUACGAAUAAGCAUCGGCUAACUCCGUGCCAGCAGCCGCGGUAAUACGGGGGAUGCAAGCGUUAUCCGGAUUUAUUGGGUUUAAGGGGUGCGUAGGCUGUGAGGUAAGUCAGCGGUGAAAUGCCCCCGCGCAACGGGUUGAAGUGCUAUUGAUACUGCCUUGCUGGAAUGCGGAUGCGGUAGGAGGAAUGUGUGGUGUAGCGGUGAAAUGCAUAGAUAUCACACAGAACACCGAUUGCGAAGGCAGCUCACGAAUCCGCGAUUGACGCUGAUGCACGAAAGCGUGGGUAUCAAACAGGAUUAGAUACCCCGGUAGUC